AAAGUCGUAACAAGGUUUCCGUAGGUGAACCUGCGGAAGGAUCAUUAACAAAUUUCCAAAACCCCCCUUUACACAUUCGUCGAGAGAGUCGGAGGGAAACCAUCAUUUCUCUUCUUCACUCUUGUCGAGUGUUCAAACACAUUUGUGAACUCAUUUUCCUUCUCUUUCUUUUCCUUCCUUCUCAAUGCUUUUUUCUUCUUCUUCUUCUUCUUCGCUUGGGUGUUUGUUCGUCUGAACGAAGAAAAGAGGAGAAAGAGAGAGAGGAAGAAAAAGAAACAAAAAAACCCCCAAAACAAAACACAAAACCAAAACAAACAUUCAACAAAACAAAAACAACAACCAAAAACAACUCUUAGCAACGGAUAUCUUGGUUCUC
rnacentral:misc_RNA from 1 species